GGUCGUGUGGCCUAAUGGAUAAGGCAUCGGACUUCGGAUCCGAGGGUUGCAGGUUCGAGUCCUGUCACGAUCG
rfam:Daphnia pulex DAPPTscaffold_4999_Cont16227, whole genome shotgun sequence.